rnacentral:tRNA from 1 species
GUUCGGGUAGCUCAGUUGGUUAGAGCAAAGGAUUGAAAAUCCUUGUGUCAUCGGUUCAAUUCCGAUCUCGAACA